rnacentral:rRNA from 1 species
UACAGAGGGUGCAAGCGUUGUUCGGAAUUAUUGGGCGUAAAGGGUGCGUAGGCGGGUCUUUAAGUCAGGGGUGAAAUCCUGGAGCUCAACUCCAGAACUGCCCUUGAUACUGAGGAUCUUGAGUUCGGGAGAGGUGAGUGGAACUGCGAGUGUAGAGGUGAAAUUCGUAGAUAUUCGCAAGAACACCAGUGGCGAAGGCGGCUCACUGGCCCGAUACUGACGCUGAGGCACGAAAGCGUGGGGAGCAAACAGG